rnacentral:rRNA from 1 species
CAGCAGCUGCGGUAAUACGUAGGUGACAAGCGUUGUCCGGAAUUAUUGGGCGUAAAGGGCUCGCAGGCGGUUUCUUAAGCCUGAUGUGAAAGCCCCCGGCUCAACCGGGGAGGGUCAUUGGAAACUGGGAAACUUGAGUGCAGAAGAGGAGAGUGGAGUUCCACGUGUAGCGGUGAAAUGCGUAGAGAUGUGGAGGAACACCAGUGGCGAAGGCGACUCUCUGGUCUGUAACUGACGCUGAGGAGCGAAAGCGUGGGGAGCGAACAGGAUUAGAUACCCCCGUAGUCCCUGUCUCUUAUAC